AGAACGAACGCUGGCGGCAGGCCUCAAACAUGCAAGUCUAGGGGGCGUAGCAAUACGUCACCGGCGGACGGGUGCGUAACACGUGGGAAUGUACUUAUUGGUUCGGAACAACUCAGGGAAACUUGAGCUAAUACCGAAUGUGCCCGAAAGGGGAAAGAUUUAUCGCCAAUAAAUCAGCCCGCGUCCGAUUAGCUAGUUGGUGGGGUAAAGGCCCACCAAGGCGACGAUCGGUAGCUGUUCUGAGAGGAAGAUCAGCCACACUGGGACUGAGACACGGCCCAGACUCCUACGGGAGGCAGCAGUUGGGAAUCUUGGACAUGGGGAAACCCUGAUCCAGCCAUGCCGCGUGAGUGAUGAAGGCCUUCGGGUUGUAAAACUCUUUCGACGGGGACGAUAAUGACGGUACCCGUAGAAGAAGCUCCGGCUAACUUCGUGCCAGCAGCCGC
rnacentral:rRNA from 1 species